UAGGGAAUCUUCGGCAAUGGACGAAAGUCUGACCGAGCAACGCCGCGUGAGUGAAGAAGGUUUUCGGAUCGUAAAACUCUGUUGUUAGAGAAGAACAAGGACGUUAGUAACUGAACGUCCCCUGACGGUAUCUAACCAGAAAGCCACGGCUAACUACGUGCCAGCAGCCGCGGUAAUACGUAGGUGGCAAGCGUUGUCCGGAUUUAUUGGGCGUAAAGCGAGCGCAGGCGGUUUCUUAAGUCUGAUGUGAAAGCCCCCGGCUCAACCGGGGAGGGUCAUUAGAAACUGGGAGACUUGAGUGCAGAAGAGGAGAGUGGAAUUCCGUGUGUAGCGGUGAAAUGCGUAGAUAUAUGGAGGAACACCAGUCGCGAAGGCGGCUCUCUGGUCUGUAACUGACGAUGAGGCUCGAAAGCGUGGGGAGCAAACAGG
rnacentral:rRNA from 1 species